AGGUGCCAUGUGGAAGUCUGAGAUGACAGAUGUACAGACUCAUAGAGGCUGAGAGUCAUUAACACUGCCUCUUGUGGUUUUUAUGAAUACAACAGAGAGUUAAAUAAAUUAACCGACUUGCCCAACAUCUCACAGGCCCAUUCAACGGCAUUCCUUCACUAACUAGUUAACUUCUUAAUUCAACCAUUUCUUCCAUUUAGAUAGUUAUUUGAGGAGUUUCCGUUGUGGUGCAGUGGAAGCGAAUCCAACUGGGAAUCAUGAGGUUGCGAGUUUGAUCCCUGGCCUCGUUCAGUGGGUUAAGGAUCUGGUGUUGUCGUGAACUGUGGUGUAGGUCGCAAACACGGCUCAGAUCCUGCAUUGCUGUGGCUGUAGCUCCGAUUUGACCCCUAGCCUGGGAACCUCCUUAUGCCAUGGGUGCAGCCCUAAAAAGACAUAAAGACAAAAAAAAAAAAAAAGAAAAAAAGAUAGUUAUUUGAAGAAUAAGAGGGUUUUCUAGAGCAAUCAUACAUAACCAAAUCCUGCAGCUCAGUGGUUUCCAAACCUGACUUACGCUCAGAAUCAGCUGGAGGGCUUUUACAAACACAGAUUCUUAUUACGGUAAAUAAAGCAUCUCUGAACAUUCAUUGAACAGGUGUGUGUGUAGACGUAUGCUUUUUUCCCUCUUACCUACGAGUGAAGUGGCUGGAUCAUAUGGUAGGUGUUUUUAAUUCUUUAAAAAGAUACCAACUUGCUUUCCAAAGUGGCUGUAUCAGUUUAUAUUACCAUCAGCAUAGCAGUGUAUGAGUAUUCAGGUCACUCCACAUCCUCACCAACACGCGGAAUAAUUGGCCUUUUCUAAAAAAAUUGAGGUAAGUUGAUUCACAAUGUUGUGUUAGUUUCAGGUGUACAGUAAAGAGAUUCAGUACAUAUAUAUAUAUAUUUUUCAGAUUCUUUUCCCUUAUAGGUUAUUACAGAAUAUUAAGUUUCGUUCCAAGUGCUAUACAAUAAGUCUUUGGUGGUUAUUUUAUAUAUGGUAUUGAGUAUAUGUUAAUUCCAUCCCCCUCAUUUAUCUCUCUCCCCCCCUUCCCCUUUGGUAACCAUAAAUUUGUUUUAUAUUUCUGUGGGUCUAUUUCUGUUCUAUAAAUAAGUUCAUUUGUAUCUUUUUUUUCAGAUUCCACAUGUAAGUGAUAUCAUAUAUUUGUCUUUGUCUAGCUUAUUUCACUUAGUAUGAUAACAACAGAUGAAUGAAUAAAGAAGAUACACACACACACAUAUACAUCCAAUGGAAUAUUACUUAGUCAUAAAAAGGAAUUAAAUAAUGCCAUUUGCAGCAACAUGGAUGGACCUAGAGACUAUCAUGUUAAGUGAUUGGCCUUCUUAAUUUUUGACAUUCCAAUAGGUAUGUAGUGAUAUCUCAUUGUGGUUUUAAUUUGAAUUUCCCUAAUCACUAAGGGUGUUCAGCAUCUUUUCGUUUGAUUAUUUGCCAUCUGUAUGUCUUUUUGGUUAAGUGACUAUUCAAAUUUUUUCCCAAUUUUUAAAUUGGAUUGUUCAUUUUCUUAUUAUUAAGGUUUGAGACUUUGAAUGCUAAUGCUCAUAGAAGCUUUAUUUGUAAGAGCUUCAAACUGGAAACAACCUAAAUGUUCCCUAACAGGUGAAUGGGUAAACAAAUUGUGACAUAGCCUUAGGAUAGAAUUUACUCAUUGGAGUUCCCGUCAUGGCUCAGUGGUUAAUGAACCCGACUAGUAUCCAUGAGGACUCGGGUUUGAGCCCUGGCCUCGUUCAGUGGGUUAAGGAUCCAGCUUUGCCGUGAGAGGUGUUGUAGAUCCCAGACGAGGCUUGGAUCCUGAGUUGCUGUGGCUGUGGUGUAGGCCAGCAGCUACAGCUCUGAUUUGACCUCUAGUCUGGAAACCUCCAUUAUGCCGCGAGCGUGGCCCUAAAAAAAGAAAAAAGACAAAAACGAACAAAGAAAACAACCCUGAAAACCCAAAAAACAAAAAGGAAACUGUUAUGGGCUAGAUAUCAUGAUUGUGGUGAUGGUUUCAAGAGUGAAUAUGUAUGUCAAAACUUAUCUAAUUGUUCAUUGUAAACAUAUGCAGUUUAUCAUAGUUCAGUUACCCCUCAAUACAGCUGUUAAAGCAAGAGAAAGAAAAAAAACCUGCAGUAAAAUGCAGGUUCCUAGGCCUUCCCCAGAACUCUUGUAUCAUAGAGGAUCCUGGAAUCUGUGGCAGAAAGGGGAUGCCAGCUGUGCUGUAAAAGGAAAACAUACUACUUUGGGUGUCACCCCCAAAAUUGUAGAUUUGAAUUCUCCCUUCACCACUUAGCCAGCUGUGUGUGUGCCUGGAAACCAAAACCAAAACCACAUAACUGCUCUGCUUCUUAGUUUUCAGCAUCUGUACGAAUGGAGUAAUAACCAGAAAAAUAUUUGCACAGUAUUCUUGUGAGGCUUAAACUAAGUAACCUAAUGGAAGUGCCUGGUACAAAGUACAUCUCCACAAAUGUGGAUUCAUGGAACUCCCAUUUUCCCAAGAAACCUUCCAAAAGGGAGGGGUUGGGUCUGGGAGUGGAAACCUAAGUUGGGCUGGAGAGUGUGCGUGGUGUGUGUGCCCACAUGUGUGCCUGGCGAGACUGGCUCUGACCAGGUGGGGUUAGCAGGGUCCCGGAGGAUUUGGAGAAGGGGGCUUAGCAUUCCCAGCCACCUCUGCAGACUUCAUGAAUCCCUCACUACAACACAUUAGGGCACAACCCCAGCUCCCUCGGGGAUUGCUAUGAUGAAUGUUUGUUUCCUUCUGCAUCAGGGCCAGAAGCUGGAAGCUUCUCUCCUCUGCCAUCCUUUAUCAUAUUGUUAACUGGUUAACUGACUGGGAUGGAGCAGCCCAAACCAAAGGGAGGCAGCCAGAGCGGGUGCUUUUCUUCACUUCCCUGCCUCUUCCUUCCCCUUUGUAAGCUCUGUGCCUUCACUCCCUUUUCAAUAGAGCUACAAAGGCCCUCGGGGGUGGGCGUGCAUGCGGGAGUGUGACACUUGUGCACGCACACACGCUCGCAUGCACACACACACACUCUCCUUCCAUCCGGGGCCAGGGUGAUGAAUUGCGGCGUUUGAAAGCCUCCUUAUCGCAGUGGCGCACAUGUUCUCUGAAGCGUGUGCCUGUGUGAGUGCUGGAGAGGUGCAGGGCGAACCCUUGGGGUGGGAAAAUAGAGCUCCUGGCUUCCCUUGUCCCUCCCCUCUUUGUCUAGAUGAAAUUUCAGAUGCUGCUGGGUGUCUUGUCAGCAAGUCUUUUGCAAAAUAAAUGGAGGUGGUAUUUUUUUUUUUUUAAGCUGAUUUGUUUAGUAUUUAGCCCACAGAGAGGCUGUGGACAAAUGUUGAUGAAAGUGCCCGCUCCCAUGUGCAGGCGGGACACUCAGUCUGAUGGAUGAAAGACAGCUAGGAAGGAACUAAACAAACCUUUAUUGAGUGCCUACUGUUUACUGCAUCCUUUCCUGCUCAUAAGCUUUUUUUAAUUAUCAUUUAUAUAUAUAUAUAUUUUUCCUACUGUACAGCAUGGUGACCCAGUUACACUUACAUGUGUACAUUCUUUUUUCUCACAUUACAUGUUCCAUCAUUAAGUGACUAGACAGAGUUCCCAGUGCUACACAGCAGGAUCCCAUUGCUAAUGCAUCCCAAAGGCAACAUUCUGCAUCUGUUUACCCCAAGCUCCCAGUCCCUCCCACUUCCUCCUCUUCCCUCUUGGCAACCACAAAUCUAUUCUCCAAGUCCAUGAUUUUCUUUUCUGUGGAAAGUUUCCUUUGUGCCAUAUAUUAUGUUCCAGAUAUAAGUGAUAUCAUAUGGUAUUUGUCUUUCUCUUUCUGACUUACUUCACUCAGGAUGAGAAUCUCUAGUUCCAUCAUGUUGCUGCAAAUGAAUUAUUUUGUUCUUUCUUAUGGCCGAGUAGUAUUCCAUCGUGUAUAUAUUCCACAUCUUCCUAAUCCAAUCAUCUAUCAAUGGACAUUUGGGUUGUUUCCAUGUCUUGGCUAUUGUGAAUAGUGCUGCAAUGAACAUGUUUUUUUUUAAGGAAAGUUUUGUCUGGAUAUAUGCCCAAGAGUGGGAUUGCUGGGUCAUAUGGUAGUUCUAUGUGUAGAUUUCUAAGGCACCUCCAUACUGUUCUCCAUAGUGUUGUACCAGCUUACAUUCCCACCAAGAGUGCAGGAGGGUUCCCUUUUGUCCACACCCCAUCCAGCAUCUGUUAAUUUGUGGACUGACUAAUGAUGGCCAUUCUGACCGGUGUGAAGUGGUAUCUCAUGGUAGGCAUAAGUUUCAUUAAUCCUGAGUCACCCAUUUAUUUCAAGUGCAAAAUAAACACCACCGGGCCUGAACUGAGUUAAAAGUUGGGGUGUCACCACCACUGUCCUGUUAAUCACUACUGGCCUGAUGUACAGAAAUGAUGCUUUACCAAGGAAGUGUGGGCCACAGCGGGCAGGUGACGAUAAAGCGACAUCUUGAAUUUCUAGAGCAUUAUAAUUUCCCAGUAAUCAGACACUUCUUUAUAUAUAUAUGUAUAUAUUUACUGGCUUCAUUAAAGACACACUGUACUUAUUAUUAGGCUGCAGGCUACACUAACAGAAUUAAAAGGAGAAAAAAGUGCAGGCAAUUAAAUAAGUUCUUUUGUCCUGGGAACAGCCCUGUAAAACAAGAUGCAUCAUUUCUCCAAAGACAAGAGCAGGGGAGGUGAUAGAGAAUUCCCUUGCCAGAAUCUUCUCUUUGGGAGCAGUGAAGGUGGGACAUUAGCUCUUCUGGAACUUUCCAUCCUUGUUUAACAUGCUGCCAAGCUGUCUUCCUAACUCAUUCCAGCGAUGGUUGUCCUGGGAGGGUUCAAUGCAUGUACAUCUUGUCAAGACUGUUAUUAUGGGAGUUUCCAUCAUGGCUCAUGGAAACGAAUUUGACUAGAAUCUAUGGGGAUGUAGGUUCAAUCCCUGGCCUUGCUCAGUGGGUUAAGGAUCUGGUGUUGCCCUGAGCUGUGGUGUAGGUUUCAGACACAGCUUGGAUCCUGCGUUGUUGUGGCUGUGGUGCAGGCCAGUGGCUGUAGCUCCGAUUCGACCCCUAGCCUGGGAGCCCCCAUGUGCCGCAUGUGCGGCC
rnacentral:lncRNA from 1 species